GCAAUAGCCGUCAUUUCAACGUCUCGUUUCAGUAUAGACCCGAUAUAGCCGGGCUGUGCCUAGCCCACUUCUAGCCCAAUUAAACUUUAAUUUGGUUACAUGUGGUUUUUGACAAAAUAAUUUGUGAGAUGGAUGCUAUUUUAUCAUGUAAGCAAAGUUAACAGCGAUUACAAGAUAAACAAAAUCCAGUUACAACUCCGAACCGCUAGAUGGCAGCAGUACACAAACACGGGGCCAAAUCUCACGAGAAAGAUUUCCGCUGUUUGAAAAGCAACAACAUCAGCGAGCAGCCACGAGGAAAGCAUGUACCACACUUGUUUGGUCUUGUGUCAAAGCUCUGCGAAACUGGAGGGAGAAACUUGAGAGACCGUGCCGGAAGAAUGCUGGACAGAGUUCACUAAAAUUCAUUAAUUUCAAAGUUCAACAUUAAUGGUGGUGGUCCACUGCAGAAGCAAGCAUUUGAAAAAACAUCACUUCUCAGUUAUUAAAGAUGCUGUGUUGAACAACUUCCCAGCAGCAACAGAACUGGAAGUGAAGGAUGCAAUGGGGGCAUUUCAAACAGGCACCAGGGAGCACGGGGGGGGGGGGGGGGGGUAUAGAAAUUAGUACAAUUAAUAAGUUGACGUGAACUGAAGAUAGUUUGUUAAUGUUUAGAUGUAAUUUCAUUUUUAAAAUUGUAUUUUGUUAUAUAUGCUUUUAUUUUGUUACUGUUUUUAUUCUUUUUGUUAAAAGUAGUU